GGGCCUCUGUAUGUGGCAGAAAGAGGUGGGGGGGGGAGGGCAUGGAUCUCUCAACUUCUAGAAGCUGCCCAUUCAGAUAACAGCUGCGAAAAGUGGACCAGCAAUAUAGGGUGGGGGGCAGAAGAUGCAGCUGGAUCUCUCUGUUGCAGGAUGCCCAUGUGGUUCUGUAGCCCUAGCAUAGUCACCGAUUCUCAUUUCCUCUUGCGGCUAAAACUGUCCCGUGCUGGGGGCCGUCUGUAAAAAAUAUCAGCUGUCUUGAGGCCUGUGGGUGGCUGCCAUCCUGCAAACAAUAGGCCGCAGAAGCCUCGCGGUUCUGACGUGGAAGAGCUGCAAAGCAAUGCGUUGGAACACUCCGUCCCUGUCAACUUCGCAGCAAACAGAAGGCCUGCCCCAUUAGCGAGAGCCGUAUGUGUUCCGGCAGGCCGCCCACAUUAUGAUUUCAUGGGCUCGUUUUAAAAAUCCGUCCAGUCCGGAAGAUGCUGCCUCGGGUUUUGACCCUUUGCAGUAGUGAGAUGUGUCUGCGUUUUUUUUUUUUUUUUUUGCGAUUCAGCGUUUGACUUCAGUAAUCCUCCGUAAAUCUGCCUGUUUAUCUGCAGCUAUUCAUGUUGUUGCACAGGUCUGGACAAUGCGAAUGACUGACGCCGCAGAAAUGAACGUGAUCGUCACGUCGAUCUUUCCAGAGUUCCUGUGAUCUGCGUGGAUGCGCUCCUGCCACUAAUCACUGCCAAACAUACCGGCUAUACCCCCCCCGAGAGCCGCACAUUUACCAAAAGCCUUUGAUGAUCCAAUUAGCUGCAUUCCCAGCGCUCUUCCCCAGUGAGAUUGUUCCAGCACCAUGGCAAGAAAAUCAGAAACUUCUGGAAUCCCUGCCACAGUGGGGGGCUGUAACUCGAGAGCAUCCAUCUCCGUUUAGUGGCUGCACAGAGGGAGUGGCAUCGCAGCGGGCUGAGCGCACGGCGCCGUCUUCCUCUGACGACGGAAUGUUGGGAACCACGAGUAUUCAACAGAUCCUGCCAGCCCGCGCCUGCUUCAGCCUGGACCUCUGCGCUGCAGCCCAGCAAAUCCUUAGCACGUGAACAACAGCUGCUGUCAAGCUCAAAAAUGAAAUGAGUAUUUUUGUGCCCGGUGCAUUAAAUUUACUCGACUCAUUCAUAUGACCGUUGCACAUUUCCAGGUUUUAUUUUCGUCUUUGAUCAUCAUAUAAAAUAACAUCUAUUCUUUGAUAAGCAGGAUUUUUUUCCUGUAAUAA